AAAAAAAUUAAAAUAUAUUUUGUAAUUUUAAGGGAAAAUAUUUUUUUCCUAUAAUAUUAAGUCAAAUAUCAUGACUAUAAAUGUGACUAUAUUAAUUUAAAUAACACAAACGCAAGACACAGUACAGCAAAGCACUUGAAAAGAAAAUGUUUUUAUUGAUUUGAGAGAGAGAGGAAGGGAAUGAGAUAGAAACACUGGCUGCCUCCUACACGGAGCCUGCAACCAGGACAUGUGCCCUGGCAGGGAACUGAACACCGACCUCUUGGUGCUUGGGUCAGCGCUCACCCACUGAGCCACUCCUGCCAGGCGCAAAGCAUUUUUUAAAAUACAAAACACAGUGGGGAAACGGGCUCAGUCUUCUCAGUAAACAAAUAGGAAUUCUAGUGCAAUUUCUCAACUGCCCGACUCAAGGAGGUAAGUAGCUUAUGGUGAUUUUUAGUCUGGCACAGUGACAACUUGCUUUUUAUUCUGUUUGGAUCUUAUUUUACAUAAUCCCAACUGGUUUUUCCCCUAAGCAGAUGUGUGCUGCUUCCUUUUGUUUGUUUACUAGCAUUUUCCUUAUUCCAUAAAAGAUAUUUUAGGUAAGUCUGGGUCUCUGCCUCUCAGCUCUCCCGUGUCUGCAGGCACGACUACAAUAGUGCAGAGACCAGGAAACAUGUUCUGCGUUCCUCAGACUUUCAAGUCACCUGUCCCUGCAGGCGCGGUCACAGCACUGCCUGCGCUGCGGGCUUAACAUUUCCAAGCUGACGGCCCACUGACAAGGGGCAGCGACAUGGGGCCGUCAGUAUGCUAAGAUGUACAUAGCUUGGCCACGUCUCGUGCUAGGAAGACUUUGUUAAAAAAUUUUAAUAUUGAUUUAUUCCUUCAAAUACAUUAUCUGAACAUUCAAACUUCUUAAACUUUAGGAACAAAAUUUUCACAUUCAAAGUAUAGUUUACAAGGAACACACCCAGGAAGGUAAUUUGUUGUCUGACCCAGGAUAUGGAUAAAGAUGAUGAAUAAAAUGUAUUUUACCAGCAGUUCUGCUCUGGCCAACAUCUUGGUUAAUGACCAUGGUUUCAUAUGUGAGAAGAAGCUGCUAAAUAAAUCUUAGGCUAAACAACAGACUUGGCCUGUAAUUCAGAGGGAAUAUUCGAAGCAUGUGAGUGAACAAAUAAACUGUUUUUGGGAGACAAAGUAAAAACUUGUCCAUUAUAAUAAUCUUAGCUUCUGGAAGGUAAAGUUUGAAUUUUCAGUGUUUUACUCACUUUAAAAAACAAAACAAACUCCAAGUUAGGUUUUCUUGGAGUCUUUGGUGUUUGCAUCUUGCAAAUUCAAACCAUGAAUGUGCUUCUGUCUUCCAUGUACACUGCUUCUAGGAAGCACAUCACCAAGUCACUGACUUCCUCACCUCAUAAAAGACACAUUUUAGCUUCAAGAUUUUAGAUUUGCGAGAAAUAGCCUAUACUUGAGUAUGUAUGUCAAUCAUGCUACACAAAGAACAUUUCUAAAGUGUUCAGAAACUGUUCACAAAUGCUUUUUUUCAUCAGGUAGCUUUGCAGUAGGUUGACUAAUGCAAGUCUCUAUGAAAAUCUAAAGAUUGUCUCAUGCAAGUGUUUUGAAUUAGAUAACCCCGUGGAAGAGUAGUCGGAAUUAUUUUGUCUUGUGGGCUCUGAGGCUGCGCGACAUGGAAGUGGACGCUGGCUGUGCAGGUCACUGACAUAUGCCACCAUCAGCUUAUGCCUCUCUGACACACAGUCCAAUACUAGAUACCAUUUUUCAUUCUGCAUUAAUUUUUCUGUAUCUUUCAGGUGCUGGUCAGAUUCUUGGAUUAACUUUUUAGAUCUGUUCUGUAGACGAACAGAGGACUUCAAUCUGCACGACUGACUACCAACCCUAGCCUCUUAUCACAAAGUUUCACUUUGACUAAAUUAACCGUUACACAUUUGGUUUCUUUCAAAAGUGUCCUGAAGUCCACUUCUUUCUCUAAUGUAUUCUUCAAACUGUUUUCCUGCCACUGGAGAACCUACUGUACUGAAGAUCUUCCCUAAUGAUUCAUUGAACUUCUACAUGGACGUUAAGAUCUAGAUUCCCAGUGGUGAUCUUUUCGAGUAUCAGAUCAUGACACAUCUGAAGAACCUUCCCUAACAACCCUGAGGGGUAAUGCAGAAGGAUUUUUCAAGAAAGUUCCAGUUAUCUCCUGAGGCCUUCACCUGACCUGCAGAGACAGUGCUUUCCUUGGAACAGAACUGCCCUGUGUCUUCCAUUUGGCGACUGAUCCCUGCUCAGAGGAGGGCACGGCUCAGCUAUGAUUUUGGACCCAUCUUUGAAAAGAUCUAGGUGAGUAACAUGCAGCAAAAUAAGCAGCUCACACAAAGGCUCAGCCAAUUUUCCCACCAGUUAUUAAUGAAUCGGAGGAACUGCAUUCAUACCAAACUUCAGAAACUCAUUGUAGAUAACAACAUGACAGCAGGCUAAGGAACACCACACUGCCUGUGCAGCAGAAAUGGCAACCCAGAGCCGGCGUAAUAAGCGGGUUCAUGUGGCUGCCACCUUUCCAGCUGUCUCUCCAGUUCCUGUCUUAGCUCAUCGACAUCUUUUAAAAAGGGCUAAGAAGAAAAAACUACAGAUGAGAGGCAGCCCAGGUUAGAAUUGCCAACUCACUGUCUGUCUGCCUUCUUCCCUGCAGUAUGAAGUCCAAGUACAUAUCCCCCAAGACAUAAAACUUAAGCAAAUUUAAGGCCACAGUAAGAAGGUGCCAGACAACAAUUCUUCUGUUUUCCAUUUGUUGAGACACAAUGGAUAAAGGAAAUUUUAACAUUUAUAAACCAAACCCAGCAAAACAAAACCAAAUCCCCAAGAAGACGACUGCCAUCAAGUCAAACAAUUGGGGAAAACAAGUCAGUUACUCACUUCUCCCUAAAUGUAGACAUUAAGUCAAAGAUUCCUGCAGCUUAACCGACAUAAACUGUUAACUGUCCUGCAGACUCCUUGUACAAGGACAGUGGACUUGAGAAGAGAGAUGUGAGAGCUGGCGGCCCGAGGACCAGACCUACCAUCACCCAGGGCAGGGCACAGAUUACCCACUGUGACCCUGGGAUUAACCGUUAGAACAGUGUUUUAUCUGCUUAGAGAACACCUGUCAUACCAACAGUGAUCCUAAAAAUUUUGAUAAGGAUGAUACCCCAAAACAAACAGCUAUUCCAUCAAGUUUUAAAGACAAAGAUUUGAAAGGAAUCUAUAAUUACAUUUUGUCAACUUACUAAAGCAGUAACUUGUGAAAGGUUCCCCCCUCCCCCCCCUUAAUCAACCCACCUCUACUUUUGAAAGUUUUAGUACCUGGAAAAUCGUGUCCACAAGGAAGUGAUGGGCUGUAUGAAUGGUCGAAUCUCGGCUUCUCUCUGGUUUCUCAUUCUCUGUCUCCUUGUGGAAUUUGUCUGUCCUGGGGUCUUGGUCUUCCUCUGUUUUAACACUUUUGGUCUCCAUUUCCAUCUCAUCAAAGCCUAUUUUCAUACAAAGAUAGAGUUUUACUUACCUUAAUAUUAGCAUAAAGACUGAGCCUUCAUGGUUGCCUGUCAAUUCUAACAAUUACUCAAACUUCACUCAUUCCCUUCAGCACAUCUCCACAUGUUGGUUCCACAUGUUCUUUCUCUGAAACAGUCAUUACCAAUUCUUACUCCCCUAACUCCUCUGCACCCUGAUGUUGAGGUGGCUGUUCUGCAGAAGUGGGAAUAGGGGAGACUGUAAUUUAUGUUGACAAGCCCCAAAGAACUGUGUGAUUCUUUAAACUAUGUGCAUGUAGAACUUUGAAAACUAAAAACUAAAAGAAAUCAUAGUUCCAUUUUAUAGACGAAGAAACUGAGGCAAAGAAAAGAUGAAUAAUUUGCCUUAAUCUGUGAAGUCAGUAAGAGGCAAAGUCUGGGUUUGAAACUAUGCAAGUCUGAUCACAGAGCUGUGCCUUUCCCACUGUCAUAUCAUGGCCAAUCAGCAGUACUAACACCCCUGAGAGGGCAGGAAGGAAGAAGAAAAAGCUUUUGAAUUUGGCACGUUCUUUUGAAUUUGCAUUUAUUCCAUUACUGACAGUAAAUUUUUACACUGCCAAUAUUUUUAAUGUGUUGAAUAUAUUUUAAAAAUAAACUUGUAAUAGUCAUUGGUCAACUAUGAAAUUGAACUGUA